UGGGACUUGAGUUUGAGACUCAGACCGGAGUGACAAUUAAGUCACACACACAGUGACUUCAGACUUGAUUUGAGACUCGUCCUCAAAAGACUUCAGACUCGACCUCGAGAGGUGGGUCACGUGA